rnacentral:rRNA from 1 species
UACGAAGGGGGCUAGCGUUGCUCGGAAUCACUGGGCGUAAAGCGCACGUAGGCGGUUUCCUAAGUCGGUGGUGAAAUCCUGGAGCUCAACUCCAGAACUGCCUCCGAUACUGAGAGACUUCGAGUCCGGGAGAGGUGAGUGGAACUGCGAGUGUAGUGGUGAAAUGCGUAGAGAUCCGGAGGAACCCCAGAGGCGAAGGCGGCGCUCUGGCUCGCAACUGACGCUCAGACACGACAGCAUGGGGAGCGAACGGG